UUUCUGUUGUAGUGAUUCUCAAGUGUCUUUGCCCCAGGCAGAAUUGCACCGCCCUUACCAGGGGCCGGGCUGAGUAAGCCACUUGGGUUUUUUUCCGAGAGCUUUUGUUCCCUGAGUGCUUUCCGUAGAGUUCCAAAGGAUGCGAAUGAAAAUGGCGGCCUCCCAGUCUCCGGCCCAGAGGAGCUGAGAGCCUGGGCCCCACUCCUCAGUGUGUCCUCAGAGAAUAGCACCCAAUUACUUCUGACUCCGUGGCCUUCGGCCGUGCUCAGAGCUCACCAAUCCUGUGACCGGUUUAAGGGCCUGCAGCAUGAUGAUGACGAUGAAGAAGGAGAAGGAGGAAGAGGAGGGGGUGGGGGAAGGGGAG
rnacentral:lncRNA from 1 species